GCUCCCGUAGUUCAAUGGAUAGAGCGGCGGUCUCCGAAGCCGCAAAUCUGGGUUCGAAUCCCGGCGGGAGCACCA
rnacentral:tRNA from 1 species